rnacentral:rRNA from 1 species
UGUGACUGCGUACCUUUUGUAUAAUGGGUCAGCGACUUAUAUUCUGUAGCAAGGUUAACCGGAUAGGGGAGCCGCAGGGAAACCGAGUCUUAACCGGGCGUUAAGUUGCAGGGUAUAGACCCGAAACCCGGUGAUCUAGCCAUGGGCAGGUUGAAGGUUGGGUAACACUAACUGGAGGACCGAACCGACUAAUGUUGAAAAAUUAGCGGAUGACCUGUGGCUGGGGGUGAAAGGCCAAUCAAACCGGGAGAUAGCUGGUUCUCCCCGAAAGCUAUUUAGGUAGCGCCUCGUGAACUCAUCUUCGGGGGUAGAGCACUGUUUCGGCUAGGGGGUCAUCCCGACUUACCAACCCGAUGCAAACUGCGAAUACCGGAGAAUGUUAUCACGGGAGACACACGGCGGGUGCUAACGUCCGUCGUGAAGAGGGAAACAACCCAGACCGCCAGCUAAGGUCCCAAAGUCAUGGUUAAGUGGGAAACGAUGUGGGAAGGCCCAGACAGCCAGGAUGUUGGCUUAGAAGCAGCCAUCAUUUAAAGAAAGCGUAAUAGCUCACUGGUCGAGUCGGCCUGCGCGGAAGAUGUAACGGGGCUAAACCAUGCACCGAAGCUGCGGCAGCGACGCUUAUGCGUUGUUGGGUAGGGGAGCGUUCUGUAAGCCGUUGAAGGUGGCCUGUGAGGGUUGCUGGAGGUAUCAGAAGUGCGAAUGCUGACAUAAGUAACGAUAAAGCGGGUGAAAAGCCCGCUCGCCGGAAGACCAAGGGUUCCUGUCCAACGUUAAUCGGGGCAGGGUGAGUCGACCCCUAAGGCGAGGCCGAAAGGCGUAGUCGAUGGGAAACAGGUUAAUAUUCCUGUACUCGGUGUUACUGCGAAGGGGGGACGGAGAAGGCUAUGUUGGCCGGGCGACGGUUGUCCCGGUUUAAGCAUGUAGGCGGGUGUUCCAGGUAAAUCCGGAACGCUGUUAACGCUGAGGUGUGAUGACGAGGCACUACGGUGCUGAAGCAACAAAUGCCCUGCUUCCAGGAAAAGCCUCUAAGCAUCAGGUAACAUCAAAUCGUACCCCAAACCGACACAGGUGGUCAGGUAGAGAAUACCAAGGCGCUUGAGAGAACUCGGGUGAAGGAACUAGGCAAAAUGGUGCCGUAACUUCGGGAGAAGGCACGCUGAUGGUAGGUGAAGUGAUUUACUCAUGGAGCUGAAAUCAGUCGAAGAUACCAGCUGGCUGCAACUGUUUAUUAAAAACACAGCACUGUGCAAACACGAAAGUGGACGUAUACGGUGUGACGCCUGCCCGGUGCCGGAAGGUUAAUUGAUGGGGUUAUCCUCGCGGAGAAGCUC